AUACGUAGGGUGCAAGCGUUAAUCGGAAUUACUGGGCGUAAAGCGUGCGCAGGCGGUUUUGUAAGACAGAGGUGAAAUCCCCGGGCUCAACCUGGGAACUGCCUUUGUGACUGCAAGGCUAGAGUACGGCAGAGGGGGGUGGAAUUCCGCGUGUAGCCGUGAAAUGCGUAGAUAUGCGGAGGAACACCGAUGGCGAAGGCAAUCCCCUGGGCCUGUACUGACGCUCAUGCACGAAAGCGUGGGGAGCAAAUAGGAUUAGAUACCCUGGUAGUCCACGCCCUAAACGAUGUCAACUGGUUGUUGGGUCUUCAUUGACUCAGUAACGAAGCUAACGCGUGAAGUUGACCGCCUGGGGAGUACGGCCGCAAGGUUGAAACUCAAAUGAAUUGGCGGGG
rnacentral:rRNA from 1 species